ACCUACUGCUUUGGAUCCAUUGAGGAUGAAGUGAAUCUUGCCUCAACAUUUAUAUGCACAGAUCUUCUCAUUUCUCUCCCACCUUUCCUUGUCCUCGAUACCUCACCACUACUGUGAUCAGGAACACCGUGUGACUGAACAACGAGGAAGCAAAGGAGAAAAGAGAGAGAAGUGGAGAAAGAAAGAAUCGGCGAUGGGAGUCGAUUACUACAAGAUCCUCCAGGUCGACAGAAACGCCAAGGAUGACGAUCUCAAGAAGGCCUACAGGAAGCUCGCCAUGAAAUGGCACCCGGACAAGAAUCCAAACAACAAGAAGGAGGCCGAAGCCAAGUUCAAGAGGAUCUCAGAAGCCUAUGAGGUCCUCAGUGAUCCCCAGAAACGAGCAGUCUACGAUCAGUACGGCGAGGAAGGGUUGAAAGGACAGGUCCCUCCGCCAGGUUCAGGCGCUUCAGGAGGAUCUUCCUUCUUCAGCGGAGGGGACGGAUCCACUACGUUUCGGUUCAAUCCAAGGAGCGCUGACGACAUUUUUACUGAAUUCUUUGGGUUCUCGAGCCCAUUUUUUGGUGGGGGUGGCAGCGCAGGGGUCAAUGGAAUGAGGGGUGGCUCGAGAUUUCCUAGUGGGAUGUUUGGUGAUGAGUUCUUAGGCUCGCAAUUUGGUGGGGAGGGGUCGAUGAAUCCGCAGCGGCCUCAGAAAGCGGCCGCUAUAGAAAACCGAUUGCCUUGCAGCCUGGAGGAUUUGUACAAAGGGGGCACUAAGAAGAUGAAAAUUUCUAGGGAGGUUUCCGAUAGGAGCGGGAAAACAAUGAACGUGGAGGAAAUCCUUACUAUAAAUAUCAAGCCUGGAUGGAAGAAAGGAACAAAAAUCACAUUCCCAGAAAAAGGAAAUGAGACUCCAAACGUAAUUCCUGCAGAUAUAGUCUUCAUCGUUGAUGAGAAACCUCAUGAUGUGUUUAGUAGGGAGGGAAAUGACCUUGUUAUGACACAAAAAAUCUCACUGGUUGAGGCUUUGACAGGAUACACUGCCCAUAUAACAACCUUAGAUGGCCGAAGCCUCACAAUUCCUAUAAGUUCUGUAAUCCAUCCCAGCUAUGAGGAGGUUGUACCCAGGGAAGGCAUGCCAAUGCCCAAGGAUCCAUCCAAGAAAGGUAACCUAAGGAUCAAGUUCAACAUAAAGUUCCCAAAUAGAUUAACUGCAGAGGAGAAAGCAGGAAUCAAGAAGUUGUUAGCUCCAUGAGGCAGAAGACAGCAAGUUUGUUCUAUGAUGUUGUGAAUAUUUCCAUUCAGGAGUCGAAGCAUUUUGAACAAGGACUUGCAGUUGAGGCGUGAUGGUCACCAUAAAAAUCUGCUCGAGGUUUCUUUAGAGGGUAGUCUGAUCACAUAUUUGAGUUCAAUCGACAAUCAAUUUCGUCCAUGCUAU